AUUGAACGCUGGCGGCAGGCCUAACACAUGCAAGUCGAGCGGGGUUUUCGGACCUAGCGGCGGACGGGUGAGUAAUGCGUAGGAAGCUGCCCGAUAGAGGGGGAUACCAGUUGGAAACGACUGUUAAUACCGCAUAAUGUCUACGGACCAAAGUGUGGGACCUUCGGGCCACAUGCUAUCGGAUGCGCCUACGUGGGAUUAGCUAGUUGGUGAGGUAAUGGCUCACCAAGGCGACGAUCUCUAGCCGGUUUGAGAGGAUGAUCAGCCACACUGGAACUGAGACACGGUCCAGACUCCUACGGGAGGCAGCAGUGGGGAAUAUUGGACAAUGGGCGCAAGCCUGAUCCAGCCAUGCCGCGUGUGUGAAGGAGGCCUUCGGGUUGUAAAGCACUUUCAGCGAGGAGGAAGGGUUAGUCGUUAAUAGCUUCACCGAUUGACGUUACCCGCAGAAGAAGCACCGGCUAACUCCGUGCCAGCCGCCGCCGUAACAC
rnacentral:rRNA from 1 species